rnacentral:sRNA from 1 species
UUGAGGGCGAACCAGGGGUGGAUUGGAACCACAAGGUUCGACAGAGCAGCAACGCUGCGAUGAGCGCCGCUUGCGGCGACCCGGAGGGUGAGGGGCGAAGCCCCGAAUAAUCCACCCCCCUCCACCA